UGCGAUGAGUCGAGAAAGUCAGACAAUCUUUUGAUUGUUUCGCGCAAGCGGCUAGUGACAUUUCUAGUGGGACACAUAUACCUACCGGAUUAUGUAGGGUGUUCGAACACCAAACGUUGUGGAGCGU
rnacentral:ncRNA from 1 species